GAGAGAGACGGACAAUUCAAUUCAGUUUUAUUUGUAUAGAAGCUUCCCAGAAACAAAUAUACUCAGGAUACAGAUUUGAAACGUAUCAAUUUAUCACGCGUUCACAGACAGACAGGAAACGAGAACACGACACAGACGCAGAGAGGGUGAAAGAAGAGAGGUAGAGAGAGAAAAGAGGGAGAGGGACAGAAAUAGACAGAGGCAAUAAGAAAACGACAUCAUGAGUCAGAGAGUGAGGGAGACAGACAGAGAGUGAGACAGACAGACAGACAGACAGAGAGUGAGAGAGACAGACAGAGAUUGAGACAGACAGUCAGAGAGUGAGACAAACAGUCAGAGUGAGACAAACAGUCAGAGAGACAGAGAGUGAGACAGACAGACAGAGAGUGAGACAAACAGUCAGAGAGUGAGACAGACAGUCAGACAGAGAGUGAGACAGACAGACAGAGAGUGAGACAGACAGUCAGACAGAGAGUGAGACAGACAGACAGAGAGUGAGACAGACAGUCAGAGAGUGAGACAAACAGUCAGAGAGUGAGACAGACAGUCAGAGAGUGAGACAGACAGUCAGACAGAGAGUGAGACAGACAGUCAGAGAGUGAGACAGACAGUCAGAGAGUGAGACAGACAGUCAGAGAGUGAGACAGACAGACAGACAGAGAGUGAGACAGACAGACAGAGAGUGAGACAGACAGUCAGAGAGUGAGACAGACUUCAAAGCCAGUGAGGACGGAUAAAUAAAUGAUGGAGAGAUUCUAUUUGAUGUGGCAAAACAGAGAGCGUGGAAAAAUCCAAGGACCUCAGCAUGGAUACAAGAAUAUCUCUCUCUCUCUCUCUCUCUCACACACACACACACACACACACACACACACACACACGGCACUAACUCACACUUAGUCAUUCCC
ensembl:lncRNA